GAUGAACGCUGGCGGUAUGCCUAACACAUGCAAGUCGUACGAGAGUUUUUAACUCAAGUGGCGGACGGGUGAGUAACACGUGAGAAUUUGCCUUUAGGAGGGGGACAACAACUGGAAACGGUUGCUAAUACCCCAUAUGCUUUCGAGUGAAAUGAAUUUAUUCGCCUAAAGAGAAGCUCGCGGCUGAUUAGCUUGUUGGUGGGGUAAGAGCCUACCAAGGCGACGAUCAGUAUCUGGUUUGAGAGGACGAUCAGACACACUGGAACUGAGACACGGUCCAGACUCCUACGGGAGGCAGCAGUGGGGAAUUUUCCGCAAUGGGCGAAAGCCUGACGGAGCAAUACCGCGUGAAGGAAGACGGCCUAUGGGUUGUAAACUUCUUUUUUCAGGGAGGAAUUCAAUGACGUGUACCUGAAGAAUAAGCAUCGGCUAACUCCGUGCCAGCAGCCGCGGUAAGACGGAGGAUGCAAGUGUUAUCCGGAAUCACUGGGCGUAAAGCGUCUGUAGGUUGUUAAACA
rnacentral:rRNA from 1 species